rnacentral:rRNA from 1 species
GAUGAACGCUGGCGGCAGGCCUAACACAUGCAAGUCGAACGUGAAGCCACCUUCGGGUGGUGGAAAGUGGCAGACGGGUGAGUAACGCGUGGGAACGUGCCCAAAGGUACGGAACAACUCCGGGAAACUGGAGCUAAUACCGUAUGUGCCCGAAAGGGGAAAGAUUUAUCGCCUUUGGAUCGGCCCGCGUCGGAUUAGCUAGUUGGUAGGGUAAUGGCCUACCAAGGCGACGAUCCGUAGCUGGUCUGAGAGGAUGAUCAGCCACACUGGGACUGAGACACGGCCCAGACACCUACGGGUGGCAG